rnacentral:rRNA from 1 species
AACUCGGCCAUUUAGAGGAAGUACAAGUCGUAACAAGGUUUCCGUAGGUGAACCUGCGGAAGGAUCAUGUUGUCCAUGGCAGCCGCCCCCGGGACGCGCCCUCAAGGUUGCUCCCGGCCGGGUCGGUCAUCCAAACCUCUGAUAGUGCGCCUUAGGGUGCACGUUAAACGGACCGUGAGCUGAUGCUCCGGCCACAUGGCGAAAGUCAUGUCUCUCAAACCCUAAUAACGACUAUCUCGUUGUAAUUAAAAUCUACAACCAGUAGCAUUGGAUCCCUUGGCACGUCAUUCGAUGAAGAACGUAGCAAUCUGCGAUAAGUGGUGUGAUAUGCAAGUCCACAGCUUAUACGUGAACCAUCGAAUCUUUGAACGCACUGCACUAUCCGGACGACUCCCCCGUGAUAGUAUGCCCCAUUGAGCGUCAUUUAUCCCUUCGGAUGUUAGUGUGUUAACUCACGCUUCCAGACGAGUCCGAGGCCCACAGCCGCUUCACCGCGGUUGCGUCCCUCGAGAUCCAUUAGCCAGCCGUGUCUGACUGGUGCCCAUCCUGUGAUGACUUUGCAGGUGACGCAUCUGGUCUUCUAAUGACCGUGGCUCACAAUCGCCCUUGCGGCAACCCGGCCUCCGUCGCCAGAACCUCGUACAUGACCUCAGUGGGGUAGGAUUACCCGCUAGACUUAAGCAUAUUAAUCAGCGGAGGAAAAGAAACUAACAAGGAUUCCCCUAGUAAC